rnacentral:rRNA from 1 species
GUAGGAGGCGAGCGUUAUCCGGAUUUACUGGGCGUAAAGCGCGUGCAGGCGGUUUUCUAAGUCGGACGUGAAAGCUCCCGGCUCAACUGGGAGAGGUCGUUCGAAACUAGAAAACUUGAGGGUGGUAGAGGAGAGUGGAAUUCCCGGUGUAGUGGUGAAAUGCGUAGAUAUCGGGAGGAACACCAGUGGCGAAGGCGGCUCUCUGGGCCACUCCUGACGCUAAGACGCGAAAGCUAGGGGAGAGAACGGGAUUAGAAACCCCGGGUAUUCCUAGCCGUAAACGAUGCCAACUAGGUGUAGGGGGUAUCCAACCCCCCCUGUGCUGCAGCAAACGCGGUAAGUUGACCGCCUGGGGACUACGGCCGCAAGGCUA